rnacentral:lncRNA from 1 species
CCGGGAACCCCGAACAUCCCCUUUCUCUACUCUUUCCCUUUGGAGUCUAUAGAGGGAGAAGCAGAGCCUAAGGCUUCAUCAGUUUGAAUACUGGCUGGGGCUGGGCAAGUUAGUGGCUCAAAGUGUUGAAUCUGUCCCUAAAGCAGGGACAGAAAUGGAGGCUCAGGAGGUAGAGGUGGCAGUGGGCGUGCAGGAGAAGCUGUAGGUCAGGAGGUAGAGGUGGCAGUGGGCGUGCAGGAGAAGCUGAGGUCGGGAGGUAGAGGUGGCAGUGGGCGUGCAGGAGAAGCUGUAGGUCGGAAGGUAGAAGUGGCAGUGGGCGUGCAGGAGAAGCUGUAGGUCGGGAGGUAGAGGUGGCAGUGGGCGUGCAGGAGAAGCUGUAGGUCAGGGGGUAGAGGUGGCAGUGGGCGUGCAGGAGAAGUGUAGGUCGGGGGGUAGAGGUGGCAGUGGGCGUGCAGGAGAAGGUGUAGGUCAGGAGGCAGAG